AUACAUGCAGUCGUGCGGAUGACGGGGAGCUUGCUCCCCUGAUUCAGCGGCGGACGGGUGAGUAACACGUGGGCAACCUGCCUGUAAGAUCGGGAUAACUCCGGGAAACCGGGGCUAAUACCGGAUGGAUCCUUCCUCCGCAUGGAGGAAGGCGGAAAGACGGUUUCGGCUGUCACUUACAGAUGGGCCCGCGGCGCAUUAGCUAGUUGGUGGGGUAACGGCCCACCAAGGCAACGAUGCGUAGCCGACCUGAGAGGGUGAUCGGCCACACUGGGACUGAGACACGGCCCAGACUCCUACGGGAGGCAGCAGUAGGGAAUCUUCCGCAAUGGACGAAAGUCUGACGGAGCAACGCCGCGUGAGCGAAGAAGGCCUUCGGGUCGUAAAGCUCUGUUGUAAGGGAAGAACAAGCAUCGGUUAACUGUCGGUGCCCUGACGGUACCUUACCAGAAAGCCACGGCUAACUACGUGCCAGCAUCCGCGGUAAUACGUAUGUGGCAAGCGUCGUCCGGAGAUAUUGGGCGUUAAGCGCGCGCAGGCGGUUUCUUAAGUCUUAUGUGAAAUCCCCCCGUUCAGCCGGGGAGGGUCGUGGGAGACUGUGAGAUUUGAGUGCAUAUGAGGAAAGCGGCAU
rnacentral:rRNA from 1 species